CUCUCUCUCUCUCUCUCUCUCUCUCUCUCUCUCUCUCUCUCUCUCUCUUCUCCUCCUCCCCUCCCCUCCCCUCCCCAGGCUGUCUGGACAUAGAGCAGUAUUGUGAAGUCAGAUAAUCAGCUGCUAUUCGUUAUUCUAGGAGAUGAAUCAGUGGAGUGGAGCGUUAACAUGUUGAGCUCAGAAAGUCCCUGGAUGUGUCCCAAAUUGGACCAGAGCCCUGGUCGAAAGGAAUGCACUAAAUAGGGGAUAGGGUGCAAUUUGGGACACAGACCCAAUGGUAAGCCAGAUAGUCCCAAUCAGGUCUGGGGGGGAGAGAGGACAUGAGUAAGAAGAUAGACUAUAGUAUGUAAAUAAAAUGAACUUGUGUAGUUCAAUAAGACUAUUGAAUGGAGUCAGAUAAUGCCUGGAAAAUAUUGAAUGGAAUAAUGCCCUGGAAAAUAUUGAAUGGAAUAAUGCCUUGGAAAAUAUUGAAUGGAAUAAUGCCUUGGAAAAUAUUGAAUGGAAUAAUGCCUUGGAAAAUAUUGAAUGAAAUAAUCCCUUGGAAAAUAUUGAAUGGAAUAAUGCCUUGGAAAAUAUUGAAUGGAAUAAUGCCUUGGAAAAUAUUGAAUGGAAUAAUGCCUUGGAAAAUAUUGAAUGAAAUAAUCCCUUGGAAAAUAUUGAAUGGAAUAAUGCCUUGGAAAAUAUUGAAUGGAAUAAUGCCUUGGAAAAUAUUGAAUGGAAUACUAUUUCUUUAGGCUUUCAGUUAGAGCUGAUUUAAGCCACAAUAGAUGACAGUAGCAACACACACCGUGGAGGUUUGAACAAUGUUUGCUACUAAAUAUGGAAUAAGGUGCCAUUUUGGGACGAUAGCCUAGGUGAGCAUUACACUUUGAUCUGACAGCCAUCUUGCUUCAUGGUUGUGAGUGACUAUCAGAGCUGUAGUCAGACCGCUGGUCUCCCUCUUUCAGCUGUUAUCUUCAUAAAGUAUCUUCUGUUCAAUCUGUUCACCUCAUUGAUUGACAAGUCUACAAUGCACUGUACAUUUCCUAGUUUAGACUUUUGUGUGUGUGUGUGUGUCCAUGUUUUUGAGGUCCUUUUUGAACAUUGCAAAUAAAAAAAAGAUAGUAUUAUUGUGA